UACAGAGGGGGCAAGCGUUGUUCGGAAUUACUGGGCGUAAAGGGCGCGUAGGCGGGCCGCCAAGUCAGGGGUGAAAUCCUCCGGCCUAACCGGAGAACGGCUUUUGAUACUGGCGGUCUCGAGGGGGGUAGGGGCAUGCGGAACUUCCGGUGGAGCGGUGAAAUGCGUAGAUAUCGGAAGGAACGCCGGUGGCGAAAGCGGCGUGCUGGACCCCUUCUGACGCUGAGGCGCGAAAGCCAGGGGAGCAAACGGG
rnacentral:rRNA from 1 species